UACGGAGGAGGCAAGCGUUAUCCGGAAUUAUUGGGCGUAAAGCGUCCGUAGAUGGUUUUGUCAGUCUGCUGUCAAAGCACAGGGCUUAACCCUGUAAAGGCAGUGGAAACUACAAGACUAGAGUGCAGUAGGGGCAGAGGGAAUUCCCAGUGUAGCGGUGAAAUGCGUAGAGAUUGGGAAGAACAUCCGUGGCGAAAGCGCUCUGCUGGACUGCAACUGACAUUGGGGGACGAAAGCUAGGGGAGCGAAUGGG
rnacentral:rRNA from 1 species